rnacentral:lncRNA from 1 species
GAAGUGCUUCGGUCAGGCAGUAUCUUUGAAAAUAAUUUGGCCAAUGAAAGCCCUGGCAUUGGAUGAAAGUGCUAGCUGCUGGGAAUGCUACCCCUCCUUUUGGUUCUCUUUCAAGUCCUUCAGGUUCAAACAAUACAGAAGUGUAUAAAGUAAGAAUUGGAAGUCUCUUCGCUGCUCUAAUCUCACUCCUCAGAGGUGAUCACUGUGUGGAAGAUGAUCAAAGUAUGACAUUUCUUCUACCCCAGAGGCUGGCAUUUCUGCAGGCACAAAUGAGCUUGGUUUUCAAGCACUGCUCUUUGAACACAAGGAAUUCCUUUAAUGAUCACGCCGGACUAUAUAGACUUUGGAAUCAGACUCUUUGAAUUCCAGCUCUGCCAUUUACCAACUUUGACACUUUGGACAACGUCUCAUUCUGUCACCCAGGCUGGAGUGCAAUGGCACAAUUAUAGCUCACUGCAGCCUCAAACACCUGGGCUCAAGCAAUCCUUCCACCUCUGCCUCCUGAGUAAUUGGGACUACAGGCAUGUGCCACCACACCCAGCUAAUUUUUAAUUUUUAAUUUUUUUGUAGAGAUGGCGGUCUUGCUAUGUCACCCAGGCUGGUCUUGAACACCUGGCCUCAAGUGAUCCUCCGGCCUUGGUCUCUCAAAGCUCUGGGAUUACAGACAUGAGCCACUGCACCCGGCUCUAUCUCCCCUUCCUAUGUGUGUUAGCUCUAGAACAAGAGAAGCCUUGUUGAGAUUCCUGGCUGCCCACCCCCCAUCACCUCUCUGACUUUGGGCAAGUUGCCUGGCCUCUCUCAGCCUUUAUUUUCUUUUUGUGAAAUGGGGAUAAUAAUAGUACUUGCCUCAUAGGCAAAAUGUUGUGAGAACUAAACGAGAAAAUGCAUGUAAAGCACUUGGCACUUAGUUCUUUUUAUGAUUAUAAUGAUAAUCAGACACAAUAAAUUAUGUCUCACAUCACAUGCUGUUUAGCCUAUUCACUGUUCUAUUUUUCCUGAAGUCAGUUCAGUGUGUAGCAUCCAGAAUUGAACAAAACACCCCCGAUGUGACCUGAUAGUGCAAAGUAAACUAUCAUCUCCUUCAUUCUAGGUAUUAUGUUUCUAUUAAUGCAGUCUAAAGGUAGGAUAUGAGUUGUUUUGUUUAUGUAUCUUUUUUUUUUUUUUUUC